rnacentral:rRNA from 1 species
GUCCCAGACUCCUACGGGAGGCAGCAGUGGGGGAUAUUGCACAAUGGGGGAAACCCUGAUGCAGCGACGCCGCGUGAGUGAAGAAGUAUUUCGGUAUGUAAAGCUCUAUCGGCAGGGAAGAAAAAAAUGACAGUACCUGACUAAGAAGCCCCGGCUAACUACGUGCCAGCAGCCGCGGUAAUACGUAGGGGGCAAGCGUUAUCCGGAUUUACUGGGUGUAAAGGGAGCGUAGACGGCAGCGCAAGUCUGGAGUGAAAUGCCGGGGCUCAACCCCGGAACUGCUUUGGAAACUGUGCAGCUAGAGUGCGGGAGAGGUAAGCGGAAUUCCUAGUGUAGCGGUGAAAUGCGUAGAUAUUAGGAGGAACACCAGUGGCGAAGGCGGCCUGCUGGACGACAACUGACGGUGAGGCGCGAAAGCGUGGGGAGCAAACAGGAUUAGAUACCCGGGUAAG